GGAUUAGAUACCCUGGUAGUCCUAGCCGUAAACGAUGGGCACUAAGUAGAGGGAUUGAAUCUCUCUGCCGGAGCAAAAGUAUUAAGUGCCCCGCCUGGGGAGUAUGGUCGCAAGGCUGAAACUCAAAGGAAUUGACGGGGGCUCGCACAAGCGGUGGAGUAUGUGGUUUAAUUCGAAGCAACGCGCAGAACCUUACCUGGACUUGACAUGGUAGGAUUAGUGCUUGGAAACAAGUGUGACGCUCUUAGGAGAGGAACUACCACAGGUGUUGCAUGGCUGUCGUCAGCUCGUGUUG
rnacentral:rRNA from 1 species